CCGUGUUUUCGUAACGGGCAGACGACAGAAUUCACUUUAAAUUAACAUUGGUUCUUAUGGGAGUGUUCACCCAUCGGCAGAAAGUUGAGCAGAAAAAAAGAACUGUUCAAAUCAGAAACGAACUGUCGUUCAUUUUGCCGUUCAUUUUAAGGCCUAUCAACACAAUGCUAUUUUGCUUUGACCGAUCACUGCUCGUGAACCGUUUUGUCGAAAAAGAACUAAUUUCGGGAUUCUGUCGACGGGAACAGACAGCUUGGAAAUAUUUUUCUGCUCUGAUCACGUGACACCGGCAGAAUAAUCUUUCUCUGCAUCAGACGCCAUGUUCUUUUUAACCUCAAUCUUUAAUAUUGUUGGAUGAUUUGUUUUGAUAUUAUUUUGCUGUUGGUUGUCAAAUUUCGGAUUGCUACUAUUAUACUGUGAAAUUAAUUUGCAGUAGAAAAUUGAGGUACCAUUUACAAACAAAAUAUUGAAGAGAAUGUGCUCAAAGGAACUGCAUAUGAAUUCAUUUUUGUUGACCAGGAUGGAAAAAUUCUUUGGAACCCAUAGAUAGAAUAAGUUAGUUAGGCCUAGUGGUGUACCAGCCAGAAGUAGAGGAUGACAAAGAAAAUCAACUAUGAAUAAUAUUCCAUGGAUAUAAUUCAUGUAUGAUGUAGUAGCCUACAGAAGAAAGAGAUGGACAAAUCUAAGAAAUAUAUUAAUUUUUUCAGUAAAUCUUGAUGUGUUUAUUUCAUGUUAUUCAUAAUAAUAUCCUCUUUGGGGGGGUUGGGCGAUCGCUCCUGCUAACUGCUUCAAUUCAGGUAGUUUAAGAAAACAGCAAGUGACAUGAAGCUAAUAAAAUAAGUUUUGAUGGUUUAUACUUGAGGGAUUUUUAAAACUAUAUUCAACAUAACAGCAUCGAACUCUUAUCAACAACUUUAUUGGUUCUGUAUGGCUUCUGCUUCUUUUGGAAAUAAUAAAAUUAUUUAACAUUGCUGACUGGCAAAUGCUAUAGGUAACAUGUAAAAUAAUAGACUCGAAUUUUAUAUAAAAUAAGGUAAGCUAUCACAAUUAUGUAUUGCAUUAAGAAUUAAAUAAUAGUACUCAUGUACUGCAUUGAACGGGUAAUAAUUCUUUGAAUAUGAAAAAUAACUCAAGCAAAAGUUGAAAAUAUUAUGUUCCAAGCCACAUCAAAUAUAAUUACUUUUAAUUCAACCUUCUAGACUAUAUUUCCAAGGUUUUGAUUGAAAUUGA